GACGAACGCUGGCGGCGUGCCUAAUACAUGCAAGUAGAACGCUGAAGAGAGGAGCUUGCUCUUCUUGGAUGAGUUGCGAACGGGUGAGUAACGCGUAGGUAACCUGCCUUGUAGCGGGGGAUAACUAUUGGAAACGAUAGCUAAUACCGCAUAACAAUGGAUGACACAUGUCAUUUAUUUGAAAGGGGCAAUUGCUCCACUACAAGAUGGACCUGCGUUGUAUUAGCUAGUAGGUGAGGUAACGGCUCACCUAGGCGACGAUACAUAGCCGACCUGAGAGGGUGAUCGGCCACACUGGGACUGAGACACGGCCCAGACUCCUACGGGAGGCAGCAGUAGGGAAUCUUCGGCAAUGGGGGCAACCCUGACCGAGCAACGCCGCGUGAGUGAAGAAGGUUUUCGGACCGUAAAGCUCUGUUGUAAGUCAAGAACGAGUGUGAGAGUGGAAAGUUCACACUGUGACGGUAGCUUACCAGAAAGGGACGGCUAACUACGUGCCAGCAGCCGCGGUAAUACGUAGGUCCCGAGCGUUGUCCGGAUUUAUUGGGCGUAAAGCGAGCGCAGGCGGUUUGAUAAGUCUGAAGUUAAAGGCUGUGGCUCAACCAUAGUUCGCUUUGGAAACUGUCAAACUUGAGUGCAGAAGGGGAGAGUGGAAUUCCAUGUGUAGCGGUGAAAUGCGUAGAUAUAUGGAGGAACACCGGUGGCGAAAGCCGCUCUCUGGUCUGUAACUGACGCUGAGGCUCGAAAGCGUGGGGAGCGAACAGGAUUAGAUACCCUGGUAGUCCACGCCGUAAACGAUGAGUGCUAGGUGUUGGAUCCUUUCCGGGAUUCAGUGCCGCAGCUAACGCAUUAAGCACUCCGCCUGGGGAGUACGACCGCAAGGUUGAAACUCAAAGGAAUUGACGGGGGCCCGCACAAGCGGUGGAGCAUGUGGUUUAAUUCGAAGCAACGCGAAGAACCUUACCAGGUCUUGACAUCCCGAUGCUAUUUCUAGAGAUAGAAAGUUACUUCGGUACAUCGGUGACAGGUGGUGCAUGGUUGUCGUCAGCUCGUGUCGUGAGAUGUUGGGUUAAGUCCCGCAACGAGCGCAACCCCUAUUGUUAGUUGCCAUCAUUCAGUUGGGCACUCUAGCGAGACUGCCGGUAAUAAACCGGAGGAAGGUGGGGAUGACGUCAAAUCAUCAUGCCCCUUAUGACCUGGGCUACACACGUGCUACAAUGGUUGGUACAACGAGUUGCGAGUCGGUGACGGCAAGCUAAUCUCUUAAAGCCAAUCUCAGUUCGGAUUGUAGGCUGCAACUCGCCUACAUGAAGUCGGAAUCGCUAGUAAUCGCGGAUCAGCACGCCGCGGUGAAUACGUUCCCGGGCCU
rnacentral:rRNA from 1 species